CUACGGGAGGCACCAGUGAGGAAUAUUGCACAAUGGGGGGAACCCUGAUGCAGCAACGCCGCGUGGAGGAUGACGCAUUUCGGUGUGUAAACUCCUUUUAUAUGUCAAGAAAAUGACGGUAGCAUAUGAAUAAGCACCGGCUAACUCCGUGCCAGCAGCCGCGGUAAUACGGAGGGUGCAAGCGUUACUCGGAAUCACUGGGCGUAAAGGACGCGCAGGCGGGUUGGAAGGUCAGGUGUGAAAUCCUACAGCUUAACUGUAGAACUGCACUUGAAACUUCUAAUCUAGAGUAUGGGAGGGGGAGAUGGAAUUAGUGGUGUAGGGGUAAAAUCCGUAGAUAUCACUAGGAAUACCUAAAGCGAAGGCGAUCUCCUGGAACAUUACUGUCGCUAAGGCGUGAAAGCGUGGGGAGCAAACAGGAUUAGAUACCCCUGUAGUC
rnacentral:rRNA from 1 species